AAGUAUUCAUAGAAAUGAAGAUUGAAGCUGCAUUUCCUUACUGAACUGUAAAAGUGUUCUGCAAUAGAUAGUCAGUUCCUGACCUUGCAGAGUGUUCCAGUAGUACUUCGUUAGUACCUGUAAAUAAGUGCUUGCCACCAGAUUCAGAAGUAGGAAGAAGAAUGCCAGUCAAGAAGAAAGUGAUGGAAAGAACUAAUCUAUGAUGAAGACCAGAUUCCAGUUUUGGAGCCCUGCUUGUGAUUCACACAGAGAUAGCAGGAACCCCCACAUCUGGGUGCCUGGUUGCACGUGUGCUUCUAGACUAACCCUGUCAUCCUUGCACAUCUCGCUGUGUCUAGGCAGUCAGAGAUAUGAAUGCUGCCCUCGUCCCACUUUGCAUCUCUCAAAGGGAGAGGGAUUGUACCUGUAGCUGGAUGAAACCUGUGGGCUGCUUUUAAUACCAUCCUGACUCGCCCCACCUUGUUGCCCACCUUGUUUAUAAAGAUGUGCUGAUUCUGCCAUGGAAUAACUUUUUGCAUAUUUCAUUUUAUAUUAAAAAAUGCCUUCUAGGACAUGUUUUAUUAAGCACAUCAAUGUCAAGAAUUAAAACAUGCCAAUCUGAAUCCAUGUGGACAACUUCUGGGCCAUUUAGAAGAAUCUGACAGAUGUGCUCUAUGAAAUGCUGGAUUUUGUAGAGGUAAUGCUGGCUUUGUGGCUGGUCUGUUGAAAGGAAGGGGUCUAAGAACAACUCAGCAGGAACUAUUAAAGUUCAUAAAGGACCAGACAAAGCUAGCUCCCAUUCAUUUUUCAAACUGGCAGCUUCUUUUUAGCUAACAAAAUUUAAAUUUAGGAUCAUAAUUUUUGUGCUCAAAAAUCUCAAAUGUGGUUUCACUCUUCUUACAUCUUACAGCAGCAAAUCCAACAUGUAUUGGAAAUUUUCUUUCUCUUUUGCUUGUAACAGGUAAUUGGUAUUACAAGAUUUUUAUCUUUUCAGUUGCUGAAUAGGAAUUCUCAAAUAAGUAUGUGGCUAAAAGGCUACUUCCUUCACUCCAAGUUUUGUUCAACUACCUCUCGGUUUUUACACUUAAUUUCAGUAUGGGAGCAAUGCAAAUUUUAGUUAUUUUUACAGACUGUGGAAAGCAUAAUUUUAGAUUUCCAAGAGUUAAACAAACAAGUGUCAGAAAAUGACUAUCUAAACCAUGCCAAUUUUCACCACAAAGCUUUGAUUUAAAGAUGUCACUGCUUUUAUGGCAGUGAGCUUUUUCCAGGGCGACAUUGUUUCCACUGUGAGAAACAGUGAAGUAUUUUGCCUACAAAAGGACUAAAGGAGCAAGCAUUAUACAGAACAAGCCUUUGUUAUGUGCAUGCACACUGCAAAACUAAGUGGGCUCUGGACUAGGAAUAGUGAAAUUUAUGCUCUUUUUCAGUCCUUCUGUUAUUCUGGUACUUCUCAGACGUUUAAUGUAGAUCCAUCCCAUUUUAGUUGCCUCACCUAGGUAGGAUGCCCAGCUUUUUGUCCCGGAGUGUUGCUUUGAUCAGCAGAGAGAGAGAUCCACCUCCAAAGGGCAUUUUAACACACCUAAGAUCUGCAUUGCAUUCUGGACAAUUGUCAUUUUCUCUCUCCCCAUAGACAAAACACAGGGUAACCACACUAUAACUCCCUUACCUCAGGUUGAUGAUGUUUAAUUCUCUCCUAUAAAUUUUAGUGGCAAAACAUCUCCUUAUCCGAGAUAUUUAUGAGAGCUGACACUGUGUAUUCUGUGAGUGCUAUAAAUUAACAGUAUUCAUUAAUUUGGGGGGGGGAAAUGGUUAUAAAUUAUUGUACUAUUAGUCACUGGAAUUGGAAGCAACUGUAGUGUUGAUACAAGCACAAGAGGCAGCUGUGCAUCCUCUCCUCCAUUCCUAUUAAGUGCAUAUUGCACUCAGUUGAAGCAAUGGUGUCUUGCAUUAUAAGCAUAAUCUUUUUCCUUCUCAUGCUCUCUUCUUUCCUUCCAAAUUUGUUCCAGAUGGCCAAGCUAGAUGUCAGAGGGUAACCAUGGAGAAAAAGCCAAAUUUGUAACUAGUGGCCAGUGUGAUAAAAGAUGAUUUUGCAGUCCCUGCUUCAGCAAAAUGAGAAAAUCUGCCUUACUCAAAUAUGCUUCUGUGGUCAGGUCAUACCAGGUUUCUGCAUCUUAGAUGUAUUUAAGGUCUGUUUCACUGUGGUAUCUUGUAUUUACUGCAAAUUAACACGGUGCUGAACAACAGCUUUAUAAAAAUAGAAAUAAAGGUCAUGUUUUCUCCUGCCAUAUUCAUCCCAGAAAGAGCCAGCAAGACUGUCCUGACCUGAUGAGUGAUGGCAGUAGUAAUCAACAUACAAAAUAUGUGAAGAAAACUUUGCUCUUUAUUUGAUAUGGUCCAGAAGAGAUUUUGGUGGCAGAACUUUGCCAGAGCAAGUCAGUGCAAUUCUCCCUAUUCACUUUUGGGCUGAAGAGGUUAAUGCUUCUUUCAAAACAUAUUUAUCAGGGAAUUGAAUCAUGUAGAAUUCCCUGGAAAGGGGGAAUCUGGACAGUUUACAGUUUCACAUACGGAAACCAAUCUUUUCUGAUGCUCUUCUCUCUCCUGACUGUGUGGGCAUAUCUCGCAUCAUGCUGUAGUGGAAUAAUUCCAGGCUCCUUCUGGUUCAGAUCUAGGUAUUGUGCACUAUCUUAACACUGCCUUGCAGAUGGAUGUCUGCUAAGCUGUGCUUUUAACCAAAAAACCCCAACCAAACAACCCCAACCCAGGGUUUGCAAAUCUACAGAUCCAGUUGUUCAAUGUCCAAAAUGUAACAUUUAUUUUAUGUUGUUACCUGAAGGUGAAUGUUGGGUUUUUUUAAUUGACUCGGAGAUUCUAGUAUAAUACAAAGGUUUUCAAAUUAAAAAUUCCAACAUGGAUGUGAGAAAAUGUAAGACCAUAAUGCCUUUGCUAAUCAAUAAAGGUAAUUUGAUCUCAUUCCAUUUUUUUUUGCAUUACUAGAAAGCAUUUGUGUUAUUGAAUUGUUUUCUUUCAUGUAAUAUAAUGAUUCUUUUGUAUGAGUUUGGAAGUUAUUUAUUCCUGAACAGGCAUCUUUUUCUUAGUUUUCUGUCUCACUCCAAUUUUCACAUUUAUGUUAAUUUUGAUACUGAAUGUUCUUUUAAAGAUAAAAAAAUACAUAGCUGCUGUACUAAGCGUGCAACUCCUGGUUUUUACUCUUGCAAGUAUACAUCAAGUUCCACUAGUUUUGUGUCUUGCAUUCAAUUAGAUUGUAAGCUCUUCAAAGCAGGGCACUCUAAUAAUUUUGCAUUGUUAAGAUGUCAAUUUACAUUUAUUCAGCUGUAUAAAUAAGAGGUUUUCAUUUGGUGCAAUGUCAUUUUGAGGGUUUGUGGCUUCAUUUUUCAUUCUGUCUUCAUAUUGCAUUGUUGAUUUAACAUUAACAUUUUUACACCUAGAUUUUAACAUUGUGACACUUGAAAGGCAGAAACAAGAAGGUCAGGUGAAGCUACUUGUAAUUGCAGGGUGUCUGGUUUUGGAAGGAGUCUCAAGGCCCCAGAAUCUGCUCAUUCUGUUGUCUGAAAUGCAAACCAGUCACCUAGCCGGGUCACCAAACUGGAGCCAGGUCGCCAAACUGGAGCAAGGAUUGUUAAUGAACAGGUCCCACAUUGCCUUCAACAUACCCGGGAAAAGAGAACUCCUUGGAAAAAAGGAAUGGCCCUGGAAGGAAUGAGCAGCUGAUACCAGCAGUUGCUAAAAUCCUUUUGUGGUCCCCUGAGGAGAAGUGAUGUGGUGGGAAGAAUUUGAGUCCCAGAGUGAGCCCCUGGUAUGAACUGGGCUCUUACUUAUGGUGAAGUCUGAUACCUAAGAUUAACAGGUUAUACACUAAAUACUGAGCAUUUUUUUAGUAUUUAAUUGUAGUUUACAGGCAGGGAUGAGUAGAGAUGACAUAUCUAUGGGAUUGCACGGGUCAGAUAGUCAUCUAGGGGCUCUGAAGCAAGAAUGUAGCUUGGUUUUUCAGGAUGCUUUCUGAUAAACAGAAAUGUUAAAGUAAAGUUUGUGAGUUUAUGCUGAGCCACUUCCUGAUCUUUAUAUAAUUAUACUA
ensembl:lncRNA